GCAAACUUGGUCAUUUAGAGGAAGUAAAAGUCGUAACAAGGUUUCCGUAGGUGAACCUGCGGAAGGAUCAUUAUUGAAGUUAAAUGCGAGGCUGUUGCUGGCCCUCGGGCAUGUGCACGCUUUGUACUUUACUCAUUUUCCCUUUGUGCACCUUUGGCUAGUCCAGGCGCAGGGUUAGGACAAUUUGUUCUGCCCGUUCUUGUUCUAUGCACCCUUUAUAAACUUGCAUAACCUCGGAAUGUAUCGUUUACUUGGUCUUUUUUUUGACCUGUAAAUCUCAAUACAACUUUCAGCAAUGGAUCUCUUGGCUCUGGCAUCGAUGAAGAACGCAGC
rnacentral:misc_RNA from 1 species